UCGGGAAUUUUGGGCAAUGGGAGAAAGCCUGACCCAGCAACGCCGCGUGAGGGAUGAAGUAUUUCGGUAUGUAAACCUCGAAAGAAUGGGAAGAAUAAAUGACGGUACCAUUUAUAAGCUCCGGCUAACUACGUGCCAGCAGCCGCGGUAAUACGUAGGGAGCAAGCGUUGUUCGGAUUUACUGGGCGUAAAGGGCGCGUAGGCGGCGCGGUAAGUCACUUGUGAAAUCUCUGAGCUUAACUCAGAACGGCCAAGUGAUACUGCUGUGCUAGAGUGCGGAAGAGGCGACCGGAAUUCUUGGUGUAGCGGUGAAAUGCGUAGAUAUCAAGAGGAACACCUGAGGCGAAGGCGGGUUGCUGGGCCGACACUGACGCUGAUGCGCGAAAGCCAGGGGAGCAAACG
rnacentral:rRNA from 1 species